rnacentral:rRNA from 1 species
UACGUAGGUGGCGAGCGUUGUCCGGAUUUACUGGGCGUAAAGAGCGCGCAGGCGGCUGGUCAAGUCCGAUGUGAAAGCUCCCGGCUUAACUGGGAAAUUGCAUCGGAAACUGAUCGGCUGGAAGGUGGGAGAGGGUAGCGGAAUUCCCGGUGUAGUGGUGAAAUGCGUAGAUAUCGGGAGGAACACCAGUGGCGAAGGCGCCCAUCUGGCCUAAUACUGACGCUGAGGCACGAAAGCUAGGGGAGCAAACAGG